CUACUACUCCCUCCGUUCAGAAAUACUUGUUAUUAAAAUAGAGAAAAUAGGACGUAUCUAGAUGUAUUUUAGUUCUAGAUACAUCUCUUUUUUAUUCAUUUUAAUAACAAGUAUUUUCGGACGGAGGGAGUACUAA
rfam:Triticum aestivum genome assembly, contig: Triticum_aestivum_CS42_TGACv1_scaffold_113150_2AS